rnacentral:ncRNA from 1 species
CCAUAACUCCGAGCUCAAGCUACUAAGUUGUUCUAAGAAAUAUUCAAUAUGUAGUGUGAGCCAGUGACAAUUCGGUCACAAGGGUUUGUUUGGAAAUGAACAAGCCUCCCGUGUUUGGAAAGGUGUUCCGUGGCGAA